GGACACUUGAAGGCUUGGAAGAAAACACUGGAUCUCUACUGGCUCGUGGCUGUUGAUAAACUGGCAAGGACGCAGAGGCUGAGAGGUGUUUAAGUAGGGCGGGGCCCAGGUGGAACAGGUAAGCAAACAGGCGUGGCAGGUGAGCUGAAUCAAUAAGGUUUUCUCUUCUUCU